rnacentral:rRNA from 1 species
AUUGAACGCUGGCGGCAUGCCUUACACAUGCAAGUCGAACGGCAGCACGGGGCAACCUGGUGGCGAGUGGCGAACGGGUGAGUAAAGUAUCGGAACGUACCAUUCAGCGGGGGAUAACGUAGCGAAAGUUACGCUAAUACCGCAUAUCCUCUAUGGAGGAAAGCAGGGGAUCGCAAGACCUUGCGCUGAUUGAGCGGCCGAUAUCAGAUUAGCUAGUUGGUGAGGUAAAGGCUCACCAAGGCGACGAUCUGUAGCGGGUCUGAGAGGAUGAUCCGCCACACUGGAACUGAGACACGGUCCAGACUCCUACGGGAGGCAGCAGUGGGGAACUUUGGACAAUGGGGGCAACCCUGAUCCAGCCAUGCCGCGUGAGUGAAGAAGGCCUUCGGGUUGUAAAGCUCUUUCGGCCGGGAAGAAAUCGCAUGGGUUAAUACCCUGUGUGGAUGACGGUACCGGAAUAAGAAGCACCGGCUAACUACGUGCCAGCAGCCGCAGUAAAAC